rnacentral:rRNA from 1 species
CCCUUAGACGUUCUGGGCCGCACGCGCGCUACACUGACAAAGGCAACGAGCUUUCCUUUACCGAAAGGUACGGGUAAUCUUUUGAAACUUCGUCGUGCUGGGGAUAGAUCCUUGCAAUUUUUGAUCUUAAACGAGGAAUGCCUAGUAAGCGCGAGUCAUCAGCUCGCGCUGAUUACGUCCCUGCCCUUUGUACACACCGCCCGUCGCUGCAACUGAUUGGGUGACCUGGUGAACAUCUUGGACCGGCUUGCCCAUUUUUGGACGAGUUGGAAAAGGACGUAAAUCAGGUACAUCUAGAAAUUGCAAAAGUCGUAACA